rnacentral:misc_RNA from 1 species
AGUCGAACGGCAAGCACGGACCGGUCUGGUGGCGAGUGGCGAACGGGUGAGUAAUCGGAACGUGCCCUAGUGGCGGGGAUAUACGCGAAAGCGUAGCUAAUACCACAUACGCCCUUCGGGGAAAGCGGGGGACGCUUCGGGCCUCGCACUAUUAGAGCGGCCGAUAUCGGAUUAGCUAGUUGGUGGGAGUAACGGCUCGCAAGGCGACGAUCCGUAGCUGGUUUGAGAGGACGACCAGCCGCACUGGGACUGAGACACGGCCCAGACUCCUACGGGAGGCAGCAGUGGGGAAUUUUGGACAAUGGGGAAGCCCUGAUCCAGCCAUCCCGCGUGUGCGAUGAAGGCCUUCGGGUUGUAAAAGCACGGCAGGAAAGAAACGGCACGGGAUAAUACCCCGUGCAACUGACAGUACCUGCAGAAUAAGCACCGGCUAACUACGUGCCAGCAGCCGCGGUAAUACGUAGGGUGCAAGCGUUAAUCAAAUUGCUGGGCGUAAGCGUGCAGAGCGGUUCGGAAGAAGAUGUGAAAUCCCAGAGCUUAACUUUGGAACUGCAUUUUUAACUACCGAGCUAGAGUGUGUCAGAGGGAGGUGGAAUUCC